GACGAACGCUGGCGGCGUGCUUAACACAUGCAAGUCGAACGGAAAGGCCCUGCUUUUGUGGGGUGCUCGAGUGGCGAACGGGUGAGUAACACGUGAGUAACCUGCCCUUGACUUUGGGAUAACUUCAGGAAACUGGGGCUAAUACCGGAUAGGAGCCCCUGCUGCAGGGGGGGGUUUGGAAAGUUUCGGCGGUUGGGGAUGGACUCGCGGCUUAUCAGCUUGUUGGUGGGGUAGUGGCUUACCAAGGCUUUGACGGGUAGCCGGCCUGAGAGGGUGACCGGCCACAUUGGGACUGAGAUACGGCCCAGACUCCUACGGGAGGCAGCAGUGGGGAAUAUUGCACAAUGGGCGGAAGCCUGAUGCAGCAACGCCGCGUGCGGGAUGACGGCCUUCGGGUUGUAAACCGCUUUCGCCUGUGACGAAGCGUGAGUGACGGUAAUGGGUAAAGAAGCACCGGCUAACUACGUG
rnacentral:rRNA from 1 species